GAAGCCUGACACAGCAACGCCGCGUGCGGGAGAAGGCCUUCGGGUCGUAAACCGCUUUCAGCAGGAACGAAAAUGACGGUACCUGCAGAAGAGGUGCGGCCAACUACGUGCCAGCAGCCGCGGUGACACGUAGGCACCAAGCGUUGUCUCGGAUUUAUUGGGCGUAAAGAGCUCGUAGGCGGUUCAGCACGUCGGGUGUGAAAACUCUGGGCUCAACCCAGAGCCUGCACCCGAAACUGCUGUGACUAGAGUUCGGUAGGGGAGCGGGGAAUUCCUAGUGUAGCGGUGAAAUGCGCAGAUAUUAGGAGGAACACCGGUGGCGAAGGCGCCGCUCUGGGCUAUAAACUGACGCUGAGGAGCGAAAGCGUGGGUAGCAAACAGGAUUAGAUACCCUGGUAGUCCACGCCGUAAACGUUGGGCACUAGGUGUGGGUCUCUAACCAACGAGAUCCGCGCCGUCGCUAACGCAUUAAGUGCCCCGCCUGGGGAGUACGGUCGCAAGACUAAAACUCAGAAGUAUUGACGGA
rnacentral:rRNA from 1 species